rnacentral:tRNA from 1 species
GACAGGAUGGCCGAGUGGUUAACACCACGGUCAUUUGCGUUGUGAGCGUGAGUUCAAACCUCACUCCUGUCG